ACGCUCCUCUUUAAGUAAUGCUCCACUGAUUUGAAGCAGGUGCACAUCGCCGCCAGGAGCGCACUCCAGCACCUGCAGAGGCAGAGUUGUUGAUGGUCCCAGUGAUGGCAGACGAGGUGCUGGGAGUGCACCGAUCUGCAGCCACAACAGUUUUCUCAUGCUUUUAUUUUUGGUGUUGUACUCUGAACUGGUGUGUAGUACCACUGAGUGUUUUGGUUUACUUCAUCACAGCAGCUAGUGGACUAAAGGACAUAUAAAUACCCUGUUUUCUCAGUGUGAUCCAGUGAAAGCACCUGCUGAUGUUGGACACUCAAAGAACAAUGAUGACAGCACAACUGUAGGAGGAAAAUCUGACACCAGCACUAAAGAACCAUCUGCUCACAGUAACUUAGACAUGGAUAUGAGUAAUGAUAAGUCGGUGACGACCUCUGAGGAGAUUAGUAGUAACAACCGAUGUGAAACGCUGCUUCAUAGACUUCACCUUCCA